UACGAAGGGGGCUAGCGUUGCUCGGAAUCACUGGGCGUAAAGGGCGCGUAGGCGGCCAUUCAAGUCAGGGGUGAAAGCCUGUGGCUCAACCACAGAACUGCCUUUGAUACUGUUUGGCUAGAGACCGGAAGAGGUAAGUGGAACUGCGAGUGUAGAGGUGAAAUUCGUAGAUAUUAGGAAGAACACCAGUGGCGAAGGCGGCUCACUGGCCCGGUACUGACGCUGAGGCGCGAAAGCGUGGGGAGCAAACAGG
rnacentral:rRNA from 1 species